GACGAACGCUGGCGGCACGCCUAACACAUGCAAGUCGAACGGACUUAAAAGAGCUUGCUUUUUUUAGUUAGUGGCGGACGGGUGAGUAACACGUGAGCAACCUGCCUCUGAGAGGGGGAUAGCUUCUGGAAACGGAUGGUAAUACCCCAUAAAAUAUAAAUAUCGCAUGAUAGCUAUAUCAAAGAAAUUCGCUCAGAGAUGGGCUCGCGUCUGAUUAGAUAGUUGGUGUGGUAACGGCUCACCAAGUCGACGAUCAGUACCCGGACUGAGAGGUUGAACGGCCACAUUGGGACUGAGAAACGGCCCAGACUCCUACGGGAGGCAGCAGUGGGGAAUAUUGCACAAUGGAGGGAACUCUGAUGCAGCGCUGCCGCGUGGAGGAAGAAGGUUUUCGGAUUGUAAACUCCUUUUAUCAGGGACGAUAAUGACGGUACCUGAAGAAAAAGCUCCGGCUAACUACGUG
rnacentral:rRNA from 1 species